rnacentral:rRNA from 1 species
UGGGGAAUAUUGCGCAAUGGGCGAAAGCCUGACGCAGCGACGCCGCGUGAGGGAUGAAGGUCUUCGGAUCGUAAACCUCUGUCAGAAGGGAAGAAACUAGGGUGCUCUAAUCAUCAUCCUACUGACGGUACCUUCAAAGGAAGCACCGGCUAACUCCGUGCCAGCAGCCGCGGUAAUACGGAGGGUGCAAGCGUUAAUCGGAAUCACUGGGCGUAAAGCGCACGUAGGCUGUUAUGUAAGUCAGGGGUGAAAGCCCACGGCUCAACCGUGGAACUGCCCUUGAUACUGCACGACUUGAAUCCGGGAGAGGGUGGCGGAAUUCCAGGUGUAGGAGUGAAAUCCGUAGAUAUCUGGAGGAACAUCAGUGGCGAAGGCGGCCACCUGGACCGGUAUUGACGCUGAGGUGCGAAAGCGUGGGGAGCAAACAGG